rnacentral:rRNA from 1 species
AGAGUUUGAUCCUGGCUCAGGACGAACGCUGGCGGCGUGCCUAAAUACAUGCAAGUCGAACGCUGCUUAAGAAGAAGCUUCGGUUUUUUCUUAAGCGGAGUGGCGGACGGGUGAGUAACACGUGGGGAACCUAUCCAUCAGCGGGGGAUAACACUUGGAAACAGGUGCUAAUACCGCAUAUGGCUUUUUUUCACCUGAAAGAAAGCUCAAAGGCGCUUUACAGCGUCACUGAUGGCUGGUCCCGCGGUGCAUUAGCCAGUUGGUGAGGUAACGGCUCACCAAAGCAACGAUGCAUAGCCGACCUGAGAGGGUGAUCGGCCACACUGGGACUGAGACACGGCCCAGACUCCUACGGGAGGCAGCAGUAGGGAAUCUUCGGCAAUGGACGCAAGUCUGACCGAGCAACGCCGCGUGAGUGAAGAAGGUUUUCGGAUCGUAAAGCUCUGUUGUCAGCAAAGAACAGGAGAAAGAGGAAAUGCUUUUUCCAUGACGGUAGCUGACCAGAAAGCCACGGCUAACUACGUGCCAGCAGCCGCGGUAAUACGUAGGUGGCAAGCGUUGUCCGGAUUUAUUGGGCGUAAAGCGAGCGCAGGCGGUGAUUUAAGUCUGAUGUGAAAGCCCCCAGCUCAACUGGGGAGGGUCAUUGGAAACUGGAUCACUUGAGUGCAGAAGAGGAGAGUGGAAUUCCAUGUGUAGCGGUGAAAUGCGUAGAUAUAUGGAGGAACACCAGUGGCGAAGGCGGCUCUCUGGUCUGUAACUGACGCUGAGGCUCGAAAGCGUGGGUAGCAAACAGGAUUAGAUACCCUGGUAGUCCACGCCGUAAACGAUGAGUGCUAAGUGUUGGAGGGUUUCCGCCCUUCAGUGCUGCAGUUAACGCAUUAAGCACUCCGCCUGGGGAGUACGACCGCAAGGUUGAAACUCAAAGGAAUUGACGG